GCUUGAAAAGAGCAAACUUAUCGAAAGAUAAGGACGCAAAGCCACGGGUCUAAAGCGGAUUUUGCCAAGACAGCCGGGUUGCCAGC
rnacentral:ncRNA from 1 species